rnacentral:rRNA from 1 species
UGAGGAAUAUUGCGCAAUGGCCGAAAGGCUGACGCAGCGACGCCGCGUGAAGGAUGAAGUCCGUUAGGAUGUAAACUUCUUUUGCAGGGGAUGAAUGUCCCGACUUCGGUCGGGAUUGACCGUACCCUGCGAAUAAGGAUCGGCUAACUACGUGCCAGCAGCCGCGGUAAUACGUAGGAUCCAAGCGUUGUCCGGAUUUACUGGGUGUAAAGGGCGUGUAGGUGGGUUUUUAAGUCGGUGGUGAAAUCCUGCGGCUCAACCGCAGAACUGCCAUCGAUACUGAAAAUCUUGAGUUCGGCAGAGGGAGAUGGAAUUCAUGGUGUAGCGGUGAAAUGUGUAGAUAUCAUGAAGAACACCGGUAGCGAAGGCGGUCUCCUGGUCCGAUACUGACACUGAGGCGCGAAAGCGUGGGGAGCAAACAGG